GAUGAACGCUGGCGGCGUGCCUAAUACAUGCAAGUCGAGCGAAUGGAUUAAGAGCUUGCUCUUAUGAAGUUAGCGGCGGACGGGUGAGUAACACGUGAGUAACCUGCCCAUAAGACUGGGAUAACUCCGGGAAACCGGGACUAAUACCGGAUAAUAUUUUGAACUGCAUGGUUCAAAAUUGAAAGGCGGCUUCGGCUGUCACUUAUGGAUGGACCCGCGUCGCAUUAGCUAGUUGGUGAGGUAACGGCUCACCAAGGCAACGAUGCGUAGCCGACCUGAGAGGGUGAUCGGCCACACUGGGACUGUGACACGGCCCAGACUCCUACGGGAGGUAGCAGUAGGGAAUCUUCCGCAAUGGACGAAAGUCUGACGGAGCAACGCCGCGUGAGUGAUGAAGGCUUUCGGGUCGUAAAACUCUGUUGUUAGGGAAGAACAAGUGCUAGUUGAAUAAGCUGGCACCUUGACGGUACCUAACCAGAAAGCCACGGCUAACUACGUGCCAGCAGCCACUGUAA
rnacentral:rRNA from 1 species